CCUGCUUUUUCUGUCUGCACAGCUGUUAGUUGCGUAGCGCAUGUGAUAGUUGCCUGGUCAUUUAUUAAUGGCUCUACUAGAAGUUACCUUUUCCAGUCUGAGUGGAAAUUUUUGGUCACAGACUUGCAAGGACACUGCCUGUAUGAGCAGAAAGCUUACAGUCCAAGCGGUGGCUUUUUGCAUCCUUUUCUGGAGUGAAUGGUUCUCAGUGCCGCCUGGUGCACUUCUUCCACGAAAUAAAGUUACAGGUGGAACAUGAAGCAGCGGUCUGAAAUUUGCAUCUCCACCGGCAGCCCUUGCACCGGUACAAGAAUCGGCCAUUUCGAUGAAAAGGUGUUCUUGCUUAUUAAUAAAUAUUCGCCUUUUGAUUGUUA